GGAGGGUGCAAGCGUUAAUCGGAAUUACUGGGCGUAAAGCGCACGCAGGCGGUUUGUUAAGUCAGAUGUGAAAUCCCCGGGCUCAACCUGGGAACUGCAUCUGAUACUGGCAAGCUUGAGUCUCGUAGAGGGGGGUAGAAUUCCAGGUGUAGCGGUGAAAUGCGUAGAGAUCUGGAGGAAUACCGGUGGCGAAGGCGGCCCCCUGGACGAAGACUGACGCUCAGGUGCGAAAGCGUGGGGAGCAAA
rnacentral:rRNA from 1 species